rnacentral:lncRNA from 1 species
UCAUAACAAAAAAAUUCAGACCUUCAUGAAGAAGAAGAGAUCAAACUUCAAGAGAAAGCCAUUCUUUAAGGAUGAGCUAAGUAAAGAAAGAAAGAAAGACAAAGAUAAGAAGCCAUCCACCUAUUUUGAAUGCAAGAAACUGGGGUACUUCAAGAUACAUCUCUUAUUGAAGAAACCUCCAAGAAAAUGAAGAAAAAGGUGAUGAUGGCCAUUGAAGUGAU